GUUUUAACAGUCCUCUCUCUCUCCAUAUACAUUAUAUAUGUAUAUGUAUAUGUAUAUGUUCCUAUACAUCCUAAAUUAAGUUAAAGGAGGGAGAGUCUGUGCCAAAGCAGUAUAUAAUUUUGUGCAAUUACUUUUAAUUUAGGCAGUUUUGAAACUGAUCUGUCUUUUGUUUUAUUAACACCCCUUCAGCCUGAAAAUCUUGUCAGUAUUGCAGUAAUAUUUGUGGAACUUCAAAUUUUGAUCCAACAGGUUAUAUCUAAGUUUCAUAUUUUCCUCCCAGCAGACAUUUAACCCGUUUAUGCCUGUGAUAAAAUUGCAGUUCUAGCCAAAAAACAGGCACAGUUGUUCUGUUAUUACUCACCAAUCCUUGACCCUCCAUUCAAUUUGAAAAGAACAAUCUUCAGUGAGAUCUCAUCUGUAAAAUAUCACCAGAUUCUCUAUCAAAGCUUUCAAGGUUUGUUGAACUAUAAUUUGGUCAUUGUAUCUACAAAUUCCAAUACUGUCUUCCAAGUCAAAGGCAAGACUAGAGAUAAAAUGUUGAAUGAAGCAUUCACUUCUUACUCCAGGACUUGCUCUGUUUUUCUCGUGCUUAACCUGCAAGGGAAUAAAUCCCUGCUAAGCACAAAAGGCCAUUGAUGAUUAAUAAAAACAGUACACUUCUGGCUUUUUCUUGAUCUGAGACAAAGACCUGGCAGGCUUUUUCUCCCACUGACAAGGCCUUCUUGCAGCUGAUCAGUCCAGACCAGUCUAGAUAAGACC
rnacentral:lncRNA from 1 species